rnacentral:rRNA from 1 species
AAUAGAUACCCAGGUAGUCCACGCCGUAAACGAUGAGUGCUAAGUGUUAGGGGGUUUCCGCCCCUUAGUGCUGCAGCUAACGCAUUAAGCACUCCGCCUGGGGAGUACGGCCGCAAGGCUGAAACUCAAAGGAAUUGACGGGGGCCCGCACAAGCGGUGGAGCAUGUGGUUUAAUUCGAAGCAACGCGAAGAACCUUACCAGGUCUUGACAUCCUCUGACAAUCCUAGAGAUAGGACGCUUCCCUUCGGGGAACAGAGUGACAGGUGGUGCAUGGUUGUCGUCAGCUCGUGUCGUGAGAUGUUGGGUUAAGUCCCGCAACGAGCGCAACCCUUGAUCUUAGUUGCCAGCAUUCAGUUGGGGCACUCUAAGGUGACUGCCGGUGACAAACCGGAGGAAGGUGGGGAUGACGUCAAAUCAUCAUGCCCCUUAUGACCUGGGCUACACACGUGCUACAAUGGAUGGUACAAAGGGCUGCAAGACCGCGAGGUUUAGCCAAUCCCAUAAAACCAUUCUCAGUUCGGAUUGCAGG